rnacentral:lncRNA from 1 species
GCCAAGCACAUCUAGCCAUGAAAGCCAAAGCCCAACACUAGACCAUGAAGAGCGUCUAGACCAUGAUGAGCGUCUAGCUAGAAGGAUGGAGCGUCUAGGACGUGAAGAGGAAAGGCUACCCAUGGAGCGUCUAGGAGGAGACCUAGACCGUCUAGGACCUAUCACAAGGUCAAUGACUAAGCAUAUUCAAGCCCAAUUGAAUGAAGCCACGGAUGGAAG